UACAUGGGUGCAAACGUUGCUCGGAAUUAUUGGGCGUAAGAGCUCGUAGGCGGCUUGUCACGUCGGGUGUGAAAGACCGGGGCUUAACUCCGGUUCUGCAUUCGAUACGGGCUAGCUAGAGUGCGGUAGGGGUGAUGGAAUUCCUGGUGUAGCGGUGGAAAUGCGCAGAUAUCAGGAGGAACACCGAGUGCGAAGGCGGGUCACUGGGCCGCAAUGACGCUGAGGAGCGAAAGCUGGGGGAGCGAACAGGAUUAGAACCAGUACCGCGAGACCAAGUC
rnacentral:rRNA from 1 species